rnacentral:rRNA from 1 species
GACGAACGCUGGCGGCGUGCUUAACACAUGCAAGUCGAACGGAAAGGCCCUGCUUUUGUGGGGUGCUCGAGUGGCGAACGGGUGAGUAACACGUGAGUAACCUGCCCUUGACUUUGGGAUAACUUCAGGAAACUGGGGCUAAUACCGGAUAGGAGCUCCUGCUGCAUGGUGGGGGUUGGAAAGUUUCGGCGGUUGGGGAUGGACUCGCGGCUUAUCAGCUUGUUGGUGGGGUAGUGGCUUACCAAGGCUUUGAAGGGUAGGCGGCCUGGGAGGGUGACCGGCCACAUUGGGACUAAGAUACGGCCCAGACUCCUACGGGAGGCAGCAGUGGGGAAUAUUGCACAAUGGGCGGAAGCCUGAUGCAGCAACGCCGCGUGCGGGAUGACGGCCUUCGGGUUGUAAACCGCUUUCGCCUGUGACGAAGCGUGAGUGACGGUAAUGGGUAAAGAAGCACCGGCUAACUACGUG